AUUGAACGCUGGCGGCAGGCUUAACACAUGCAAGUCGAGCGGAGAGAGGUAGCUUGCUACUGAUCUUAGCGGCGGACGGGUGAGUAAUGCUUAGGAAUCUGCCUAUUAGUGGGGGACAACAUUUCGAAAGAAACGCUAAUACCGCAUACGUCCUACGGGAGAAAGCAGGGGAUCUUCGGACCUUGCGCUAAUAGAUGAGCCUAAGUCGGAUUAGCUAGUUGGUGGGGUAAAGGCCUACCAAGGCGACGAUCUGUAGCGGGUCCGAGAGGAUGAUCCGCCACGCUGGGACUGAGACACGGCCCAGACUCCUACGGGAGGCAGCAGUGGGGAAUAUUGGACAAUGGGCGCAAGCCUGAUCCAGCCAUGCCGCGUGUGUGAAGAAGGCCUUAUGGUUGUAAAGCACUUUAAGCGAGGAGGAGGCUACUUUAGAUAAUACCUAGAGAUAGUGGACGUUACUCGCAGAAUAAGCACCGGCUAACUCUGUGCCAGCCGCCGCCGGAAUAC
rnacentral:rRNA from 1 species